UGUAGGACCAUGAAAAGAACUACCCCACGCAUGAAUUGGAGCUAGCGGUGGUAGUUUUGCGUUAAAGAUAUGGUGACACUAUCUAUAUGGAGAGAAAACUCAAAUCUACACUAACCAGAAAAUCCUAAAGUAUUUCUUCACUCACGAGCUAAAUAUGAGACAACAGAGGUGGUUGAAACUAGUCAAAGAUUAUGACAUCGACAUCCAGUACCACUAUGGGAAGACGAAG